rnacentral:rRNA from 1 species
UGCAUGCAAGUCGAGCGAAGCUUUUCAGUAGUUUACUACAGAAAAUGACUGAGCGGCGAACGGGUGAGUAACGCGUGAGCAAUCUACCUCAGUUACAGGGAUAGCCCGAGGAAACUCGGAUUAAUACCUGAUACUCUUUAAAUUUCGCAUGAAAUUAAAAGGAAAGGUCAGCCGAACUAAGAUGAGCUCGCGUUCUAUCAGCUAGUUGGUGAGGUAAAAGCUCACCAAGGCAACGACGGAUAGCUGGUCUGAGAGGACGAUCAGCCACACUGGGACUGAGACACGGCCCAGACUCCUACGGGAGGCUGCAGCAGGGAAUAUUGCGCAAUGAGCGAAAGCUUGACGCAGCGACACCGCGUGUGGGAUGACGGAUCUAGGUUUGUAAACCACUUUCAGGAGGGAAGAAAAUGACGGUACCUCCACAAGAAGCCCCGGCCAACUACGUGCCAGCAGCCGCGGUAAUACGUAGGGGGCGAGCGUUGUCCGGAUUUAUUGGGCGUAAAGAGCUCGUAGGCGGUUCAACAAGUCGGUCGUAAAAGUUCAGGGCUCAACCCUGAAAUGUCGAUCGAUACUGUUGUGACUAGGAUACGGUAGAGGUGAGUGGAAUUCCGAGUGUAGCGGUGAAAUGCGUAGAUAUUCGGAGGAACACCAAUUGCGAAGGCAGCUCACUGGGCCGCUAUCGACGCUGAGGAGCGAAAGCUAGGGGAGCAAACAGGAUUAGAUACCCUGGUAGUCCUAGCUGUAAACGAUGGAUACUAGACGUAGGAACUGGAUUGACGGUUUCUGUGUCGUAGCUAACGCGUUAAGUAUCCCGCCUGGGGAGUACGGUCGCAAGACUAAAACUCAAAGGAAUUGACGGGACCCCGCACAAGCGGCGGAGCAUGCGGCUUAAUUCGAUGAU